rnacentral:lncRNA from 1 species
AUGGAAGAUUCGAUGGACAUAGACAUGAGCCCCUUGAGACCCUAAACUAUCUUUUCAAUUCUGAACUAAAGGUCAAAAAAGAUGAUCACUUUGAAGUAGAUAAUGAUGAAAAUGAGCGCCAGAUAUCCUUAAGAAUGGUGAGUUUAGGGGCUCGUGCAAAGGAUGAAUUACACAUUGUUGAGGCAGAGGCGAUGAAUUAUGAAGGCAGUCCAAUUAAAGUAGCACCGGUGACUUUGAAAAUGUCUGUAUACCAACGGUUUCCGUUGGGGCUUUGAAAUAACACCACCUGUGGUCUUAGAGUUGAAGCAUGGUUCAGAGCCAGUGCAUACUAGUAGACAGCACUUUGUAGCUGGGGAGAAAGACACACAGUCGGAAGAUGAAAAAGAGGAGGAUGUGAAACUCUUAGGCAUGUCUGGAAGGCAAUCUGCCCCUGGAGGUGGUAGCAAGAUUCCACAGGAUAAAGUAAAACUUACUGCUGAUGAAAAUGAUGAUGAUUUUGAUGAUGAGGAAACUGAAGAAAAAGCUCCAGUGAAGAAAUCUACAUGAGAUGUGCCAGCCAAAGAUGCAAAACAAUCAAAGCAGAAUAGAAAAGAUUCGAAACUGUCAACACACCAAGAUCAAAACGUCAAGAAUCCUUCAAAAAACAGGAAAAAAAAAAAAAACUCCUAAAACGCCCAAAGGACUUACGUCUACAAAAGAUAUGAAGACAAAAAUGUAUGCAAGUAUAGAGAAAGAUGGUUCUUUUCCCAAAGUGGAAGUCAAGUUCAUUAAUUAUGUGAAUAAUUGCUUUUGGAUGACUGACUAGUAGGCUAUUCAAGAUCUCUGGCAGUGGAGGAAGUC